AUGAAUUAUACCUUCUGUGGGCUCAAAGAAUCAAGAGUGAUCCAGAAGCCUGCGGAAGGUGGCGCAGCAGAGGGAGCUGGUCGUCCCGAAUCCUGCAUCUGCUGCACUAGUUUGACAGUUAAAAUGACUACGUUCUUAAAACAUUUUUUUUUUUUUUUUUUUUUUUUUUGCUUUAUUUUGAAUAAACAGACCCUCCUGGGAGUAACAAAGACAGAGCUAGAAAUCUCUAAUCUGGCCGAGGGUCUUUUUUUUUCUUCCCUUUAAUUUUACCAUAUGUGGACCCUGAAAUUAUAAUAAGGAAAAGGACAGGACACAGUAACUCACAAUAUAAAGCAAUCUAACCCAGAUGUUGAUGACAGAUUUCUGAAGCAUAGUCUGAGAGCUUGUUUCAAAAGUGGGGAAAUGUUGCGAUGUUAGAACAGCAGUCAUAGCCCCCAGCUAAAAUGGCCUGUAGAGCUUGUAACCAAAGCCAUUGCUGAUACAUGGAAAUUAUUU
rnacentral:lncRNA from 1 species